GCACUCAGCUUUCUUCACAGUCCAACUCUCACAUCCAUAGAUGACCACUGGAAAAACCAUAGCCUUGACCAGACGCAUAGCUCUCUGAAUUCUGGAGUGACUGUCCCCCAAAAUCUAAUGAUUCCGUUUCUUAUACUUUGAACUUCAGUACCUUGUGUGGAUUUUCAGUCAAUACCUGGUUUGGCCCCGGUUGUAACUGCUUGUUUGCACACUUAAUCUUACUUGAUCCUGACUUACAGGAACAACGUCAGAGUUUGCAUGGGCCACUGUUUGAGGCUGCAGCACAGUUUUUCCUUCCCCUUCAUCAUGGACACAUGACACAGUUUCAGCCAAUCAGAGGUCUUCCCUGGGAAGCUGCCGGAAUCACAGAGCUGGAGGGGUCUUCUCGGCCAAGGGAUCAAACCCGUGUCUCCUGCAUUGGUAGGUGGAUUCUUUACCAAGGAGCUACCUGGGAAGCCAGUGGGUUGAAUGGUGGCCCCCUAAACACAUGUCCAAGUCCUGACCCCAGUACCAGUGAAAGUGACCUUAUUUGAAUAAAGAGUCUUUUCAGAUGUAAUUCAGCUAAGGAGCCAGGGGUCAUCUGGGAUUUAGGUUGGAGCUGGAACCCAGUGACUGAUAAUCUUCUAAGAAAAGGCAGAGGGAGAUUUGAGAUGCAGAAAAGACAGAGGUGGAGACGGGAGUGAUGCGGCCACAAGCCAAGGGAUGCCUGGAGCCCCCGGAAGCAGGGCGUCACAAAGAAGGACUCUUCCCUACAGCCUCUAGAGGGAACAUGGCCCUGUCAGCACCUUGACCUUGAUUUCAGACUUCUGGCUUCCAGGAGUGCAAGAGAAUAAAUGUGUGUUAUUUAA